UACGUAGGGUGCAAGCGUUAAUCGGAAUUACUGGGCGUAAAGCGUGCGCAGGCGGUUGCGCAAGACCGAUGUGAAAUCCCCGGGCUUAACCUGGGAACUGCAUUUGUGACUGCACGGCCAGAGUGUGUCAGAGGGGGGUAGAAUUCCACGUGUAGCAGUGAAAUGCGUAGAUAUGUGGAGGAACACCGAUGGCGAAGGCAGCCCCCUGGGAUAACACUGACGCUCAUGCACGAAAGCGUGGGGAGCAAACAGG
rnacentral:rRNA from 1 species